rnacentral:rRNA from 1 species
CUGAUCCAGCCAUGCCGCGUGAGUGAAGAAGGCUUUUGGGUUGUAAAGUUUUUUCGGGGGGAAAGAAAACGUAUGGGUUAAUACCCUGUGCGGAUGACGGUACCGGCAUAAGAAGCACCGGCUAACUAAGUGCCAGCAGCCGCGGUAAUACGUAGGGUGCGAGCGUUAAUCGGAAUUACUGGGCGUAAAGCGUGCGCAGGCGGUUUUUUAAGACAGGCGUGAAAUCCCCGGGUCAACCUGGGAACUGCGCUUGUGACUGGAAGGCUAGAGUACGGCAGAGGGGGGUGGAAUUCCACGCGUAGCAGUGAAAUGCGUAGAGAUGUGGAGGAACACCAAUGGCGAAGGCAGCCCCCUGGGUCGAUACUGACGCUCAUGCACGAAAGCGUGGGUAGCAAACAGGAUUAGAUACCCUGGUAGUCCACGCCCUAAACGAUGUCAACUAGGUGUUGGAAGGGUAAGACCUUUUAGUACCGGAGCUAACGCGUGAAGUUGACCGCCUGGGGAGUACGGCCGCAAGGUUAAAACUCAAAGGAAUUGACGGGGACCCGCACAAGCGGUGGAUGAUGUGGAUUAAUUCGAUGCAACGCGAAAAACCUUACCUACCCUUGACAUGUCCAGGAGCCCUUAGAGAUUUGGGUGUGCCCGAAAGGGAACUGGAACACAGGUGCUGCAUGGCUGUCGUCAGCUCGUGUCGUGAGAUGUUGGGUUAAGUCCCGCAACGAGCGCAACCCUUGUCGUUAAUUGCCAUCAUUUAGUUGGGCACUUUAACGAGACUGCCGGUGACAAACCGGAGGAAGGUGGGGAUGACGUCAAGUCCUCAUGGCCCUUAUGGGUAGGGCUUCACACGUCAUACAAUGGUCGGUACAAAGGGUCGCCAACCCGCGAGGGGGAGCCAAUCCCAGAAAGCCGAUCGUAGUCCGGAUCGUAGGCUGCAACUCGCCUGCGUGAAGUCGGAAUCGCUAGUAAUCGUGGAUCAGCAUGUCACGGUGAAUACGUUCCCGGGCCUUGUACACACCGCC